rnacentral:RNase_P_RNA from 1 species
GUAAGACAGACAGUCGCGGGGAAAGCUUUUUAUAAGGCUUUCCGUGAGGAAAGUCCGAGCUUCACAGAGCAGGGUGCCGGCUAACGGCCGGUGGAGGCGACUCUAAGGAAAGUGCAACAGAAAAGUACCGCCCUGAUUUUAGGGUAAGGUUGAAAAGGCGAGGUAAGAGCUCACCGCAGAUACGGAGACGUAUCGGGCGUGUAAACCCCACCCGAAGCAACGCAAGACCGCACCAUAGCUUGCUCGGCUGUGCAAAUUUGCGGCUAAAGCCUGUCGGCAACGGCAGGCGUAGACAGAUGGCUGUCUGAUACAGAACUCGGCUUACAGUCUUGCUCAU